rnacentral:lncRNA from 1 species
CCGCUAGGUAUCGGUAACUUGCUACGUCUCAUCCGCUAGGUAGUGGUAACUUGCUACGUCUCGUCCGCUAGGUAGCGGUAACUUGCUACGUCUCGUCCGCUAGGUAGUGGUAACUUGCUAUGUCUCGUCCGCUAGGUAACGGUAACUUGCUACGUCUCGCCCUCUAGGUAGCGGUUAUCACUAGCUACAUCUCGACCGCUAGGUAUCGGUAACUUGCUACGUCUCGUCCGCUAGGUAACGGUAACUUGCUACGUCUCGCCCUCUAGGUAGCGGUUAUCACUAGCUACAUCUCAUCCGCUAGGUAUCGGUAACUUGCUACGUCUCGUCCGCUAGGUAGUGGUAACUUGCUAUGUCUCGUCCGCUAGGUAACGGUAACUUGCUACGUCUCGUCCGCUAGGUAGUGGUAACUUGCUACGUCUCGCCCUCUAGGUAGCGGUUAUCACUAGCUACAUCUCGACCGCUAGGUAUCGGUAACUUGCUACGUCUCGUCCGCUAGGUAGUGGUAACUUGCUACGUCUCUACCUCUAGGUAGCAGUAACUUGCUAUGUCUCGACCGCUAGGUAGCGGUAACUUGCUACGUCUCGACUGCUAGGUAGCGGUAACUUGCUACAUCUCGACUGCUAGGUAUCGGUAACUUGCUACAUCCCGACCGCUAGGUAACGGUAACUUGCUACGUCCUGACCACAAGGUAGCGGUUAUCACUAGCUACAUCUCGACCGCUAGGUAGUGGUAACUUGCUACGUCUCAACCGCUAGGCAGCGGUAACUUGCUACGUCUCGAACGCUAGGUAGAGGUUAUCACUAGCUACAUCUCAACUGCUAGGUAGCGGUAACUCCCUACAUCCCGACCGCUAGGUAGUGAUAACUCCCUACGUCUCGACUGC